AUGUGCAUGAUUAAUUUAACUCCAGCGGCGUCGGAGGAACUACAUUGCUGCACAGACCACCACAGCUGGGGCAACGGGUUGAAGAACAUCGGCUGCAGGCUGCCGGAGCAGAACGGCGAGUGCAACGCGUGGUGCCAGUCGGGCUGCCGCGGUGGCGACUGCAAGAUGCGUGACGGACUGCACUUCUGCCAUUGUUACUGCUGA
rnacentral:rRNA from 1 species